GACAGAGGUGCCGAGCGUUAGGCGGAAUCACUGGGCUUAAAGCGUGUGUAGGCGGACCCGUCAGUGUCUUGUGAAAGCCCUGGGCUCAACCUGGGAAUUGCAGUGGAUACUGGCGAGCUAGAGUGCGGUAGAGGAUGGUGGAAUUCCCGGUGUAGCGGUGAAAUGCGUAGAGAUCGGGAGGAACACCCGUGGCGAAGGCGGCCAUCUGGACCAGCACUGACGCUGAGACGCGAAAGCGUGGGGAGCGAACAGG
rnacentral:rRNA from 1 species